rnacentral:rRNA from 1 species
CAUUCAAGUUUCUGACCUAUCAGCUUCCUAUUGUAGGGUAUUGGCUUACCAUGGCGAUGACGGGUAACAGCGAAUUUGGGUUCAGUUCUGGAGAGGGAGCCUGAGACACGGCUACCACAUCUAAGGAAAGGCGGCAGGCGCGUAACUUACCCAAUUCUGACACGGAGAGGUAGUGACAAGAAAUAACGAUACAGGGCAUUCAUGUCUUGUACUUGGGCUGAGUAGAAUGUAAACGACUCUAUGAGUAUCAAUUGGAGGGCAAGUCUGGUGCCAGCAGCCGCGGUAACUCCAGCUCCAAUAGCGUAUAUUGAAGUUGUUGCGGUUAAACAGCCCGUCGUUGGAUUUCUGUUGAGGUCGAACAGUGCCGCCCUAUGGGUGCGCAACUGGCUCGGCUUCGGCAUCUUCUUGGAGAGCGAAUCUGCACUUAACUGUGUGGAUCGUACUUCAAGUCAGUUACUUUGAGGAAUUGUGAGUGUUUCAAGCAGGCUUACGCCGUUGAAUCCGUUAGCAUAGAAUAAUAUAAUAGGACCUCGGUUCUAUUUUGUUGGUUUUGAGAGCUGGGGCAGCGAUUGAUAGGGGCGGAUGGGGGCGUCCGAACUUUACUGUCAGAGGUGAAACUCUUAGAUCGGUCAAAGGCGAACUACUGCGAACGCAUCCGCCAAGAAUGUUUUCUUUAAUCAAGAACGAAAGUUAGGUGAUCGACGACGAUCAGAUACCGUCCUAGUCUUAACCAUACACGUUACUGA